UACGUAGGGAGCGAGCGUUACUCGGAAUCACUGGGCAUAAAGGGCGUGUAGGCGGGUGCGUAAGUCCGGCGUGAAAUCCCUCGGCUCAACUGGGGAAUGGCGUCGGAUACUGCGUGUCUGGAGUGUGGGAGGGGAGAGUGGAACUCUUGGUGGAGCGGUGAAAUGCGUAGAUAUCAAGAGGAACGCCGGUGGCGAAAGCGGCUCUCUGGCCCACUACUGACGCUGAGGCGCGAAAGCUAGGGGAG
rnacentral:rRNA from 1 species